UACAGAGGGGGCAAGCGUUGUUCGGAAUUACUGGGCGUAAAGGGCGCGUAGGCGGCCUUCUAAGUCGAGCGUGAAAUCCCCGGGCUCAACCCGGGAACUGCGUCCGAUACUGGAAGGCUUGAAUCCGGGAGAGGGAUGCGGAAUUCCAGGUGUAGCGGUGAAAUGCGUAGAUAUCUGGAGGAACACCGGUGGCGAAGGCGGCAUCCUGGACCGGUAUUGACGCUGAGGCGCGAAAGCCAGGGGAGCAAACGGG
rnacentral:rRNA from 1 species